UACGUAGGUGGCGAGCGUUGUCCGGAUUUAUUGGGCGUAAAGCGCGCGCAGGCGGUUCGCUCCGUCCGGUGUGAAAUCUCCCGGCUCACCUGGGAGGGGGCGCUGGAGACUGGCGAACUGGAGGCAGGGAGAGGUCGGUGGAAUUCCCGGUGUAGUGGUGAAAUGCGUAGAGAUCGGGAGGAACACCAGUGGCGAAAGCGGCCGACUGGACCUGUCCUGACACUGAGGCGCGAAAGCGUGGGGAGCGAACCGG
rnacentral:rRNA from 1 species